GGAAACGGCAGAUCUGUUGCUUAGUAAGUUCAAGUGGGGCCAUGCUUUUCUUUCCGUUAAUAGAGAACUUCUAAAACAAUACUCAGCAUGUGAGAAUAGUGCUGAUAUAAUUUCGGUCCAGAAUGCUUGGUUAUCACAACAACGACAAGUCCCUAAAGAACCGCAUAUUGUAGAAGGUGCAAAGAAGUCAUCUGUGAGAGAAGACGAUGAGGGUUCCGAUGAUUCCGAG
rnacentral:misc_RNA from 1 species